UGGGGAAUAUUGCGCAAUGGGGGAAACCCUGACGCAGCGACGCCGCGUGUGGGAUGAAGGUCUUCGGAUUGUAAACCACUGUCGCGAGGGACGAAGCUCUGACGGUACCUCGAAAGGAAGCACCGGCUAACUCUGUGCCAGCAGCCGCGGUAAUACAGAGGGUGCGAGCGUUGUCCGGAAUCACUGGGCGUAAAGGGCGCGUAGGCGGCCCGGUAAGUAGGGGGUGAAAUCUACAUGGCUCAACUGUGAGGCUGCCUUCUAGACUGCCAGGCUUGAGCACAGUAGAGGCGAGUGGAAUUCCCGGUGUAGCGGUGGAAUGCGUAGAGAUCGGGAAGAACAUCGGUGGCGAAGGCGGCUCGCUGGGCUGUUCCUGACGCUGAGGCGCGAAAGCGUGGGAGCAAACAGGAUUAGAUACCCAAGUAGUCCCUGAGCGGGCUGGCAAGGCGCAU
rnacentral:rRNA from 1 species